rfam:Ornithorhynchus anatinus chromosome 1, whole genome shotgun sequence.
CCCCUCUCAGGGUAGCACCUGGAGAGUUUCUAGUACUCUACCAGUCUCUGCUAUGGGAGGAAGGGUCAAGCAAAGGCCUACCCAUUCUUUUCCCAGCUUGCACAGUGGCUGGCGAGUGGAAGGCAAUUUGCUGCAAGU